UUUGGGUACUGGGUUUCGAUCAGAGCAGGGGGAACCGGGGAAGAACAAGCAAACCCUUGUUUGCAAAAUUCCAGCAAUAUACUUGAAAUCUCAAGGAGAAUCUAAUGCAUGAGCCUCUAUUUUCGAGUAUCUAACCCUAAUUAGUGAAGUGGUAAGUUUUAUUUUCUGAAAUUAUGAUUUGUAGGAUGAGGGUUACAACCCAAUCUCGAAUUCUUGUAACAAAUGUGGUAAAACUGAGUUAGGAUUACCUUUUUGAACAAGAAUCAAGUUUGAUUUCAGGUUAUUUGAAAGAGAAUUGUAUAAACCCACUUGAUGAGAAAUUAGCAUGAAAGAAUGAUCAUGCGGAGGUAGAUAUGUGUAAUCUUGAUAUAUGGUCUUGUUUGUAAUACCUGAAUGCUAAAUAAAUUGAUGUAGAAUAAAAGAAUUGUAUGAACUUGAUUGAUUCUCAAUGAUAUAUAAGAUGAACUAGUAAAGUCAUGCUAUGAAUACUUGUACAUUAUGCUUUAUUAAUGUGACGCACACCAAGUGUUUGAUAAAAUGCUUAAGAGAAUAAAUGUGUGAAAUUCUGAAAAUUAGUGAUAAUGUUUGUCACUUGAAAAUGAGAAAUUUAUGUAAAUGAUGGAAUGAAAGUGUUGGGCUAAAUGAAUGAAUGCGUUUAAUGUAGGCGUGAAAGAAGAAGGCUCAAACACUAAGAAAACGGGAGACUCACAGGAUCGAGGUAAAUCCUCAAGCUAGGCGGUCGGACGAUUUGGAAUGAGCACACUUGAUCUACGCCCACUACACGCUUCCGUCAUAAGUGAAUAUAAUGUGGUCUAAACUUUUGGUCUUAUGUACUUUAACUUGUGUAGUAUUUUGAUGUCUUUAUGGUUUGGUUAAAAACUUAUUAGUGGUAGUCUUGUUGUAAACAACUUAAACGUAUGGUUUUGGGUUUUUGUCAAGGAUGUU
rnacentral:lncRNA from 1 species